rnacentral:rRNA from 1 species
GACGAACGCUGGCGGCGUGCCUAAUACAUGCAAGUUGAACGCUUGAUUUUCACCGAAGCUUGCUUCACCGAAAAUCAAGAGUAGCGAACGGGUGAGUAACGCGUGGGUAACCUACCUCUCAGCGGGGGAUAACUAUUGGAAACGAUAGCUAAUACCGCAUAACAAUGUUGGAUGCAUAUUCGACAUUUGAAAGUACCAACUGGUACACUGAGAGAUGGACCCGCGUUGUAUUAGCUAGUUGGUAGUGUAAUGGACUACCAAGGCGAUGAUACAUAGCCGACCUGAGAGGGUGAUCGGCCACAUUGGGACUGAGACACGGCCCAAACUCCUACGGGAGGCAGCAGUAGGGAAUCUUCGGCAAUGGACGAAAGUCUGACCGAGCAACGCCGCGUGAGUGAAGAAGGUUUUCGGAUCGUAAAACUCUGUUGUUAGAGAAGAACGUUGCAUAGAGUGGAAAAUUAUGCAAGUGACGGUAUCUAACCAGAAAGGGACGGCUAACUACGUGCCAGCAGCCGCGGUAAUACGUAGGUCCCGAGCGUUGUCCGGAUUUAUUGGGCGUAAAGCGAGCGCAGGUGGUUUAAUAAGUCUGAUGUAAAAGGCAGUGGCUCAACCAUUGUGUGCAUUGGAAACUGUUAGACUUGAGUGCAGUAGAGGAGAGUGGAAUUC